rnacentral:rRNA from 1 species
AACGAACGCUGGCGGCAUGCCUAACACAUGCAAGUCGAACGAGACCUUCGGGUCUAGUGGCGCACGGGUGCGUAACGCGUGGGAACCUGCCCUUAGGUUCGGAAUAACUCCCCGACAGGGGUGCUAAUACCGGAUAAUGUCUUCGGACCAAAGAUUUAUCGCCUUUGGAUGGGCCCGCGUUGGAUUAGCUAGUUGGUAUGGUAAAAGCCUACCAAGGCGUCGAUCCAUAGCUGGUAUGAGAGGAUGAUCAGCCACACUGGGACUAAGACACGGCCCAGACUCCUACGGAAGGCAGCAGAGGUGAAUAUUGGAAAAUGGGCGAAAGCCUGAUCCAGCAAGGCCGCGUGAGUGAUGAAGGCCUUAGGGUUGUAAAGCACUUUUACCCGGGAUGAUAAUGACAGUACCGGGAGAAUAAGCUCCGGCUAACUCCGUG